GACGAACGCUGGCGGCGUGCCUAAUACAUGCAAGUUGAGCGCUUAAGGUUGGUUCUUUUACCAACUCAAUGAGCAGCGAACGGGUGAUUAACGCGAGGGUAAUCUGCCUUGGAGCAUGGGAUAACAUUUGGAACCGUAUGCUAAUACCGCAUAUAAACUUUAAACACAAGUUUUAUGUUUGCAAGAUGCAAUUGCUUCACUUAAAUAUGAUCCCGCGUUGUAUUAGCUAAUUGGUGAGGUAAAGGCUCACCAAUGCGGAGAUACAUAGCCGACCUGAUAGGGAGAUAGGCCACAUUGGGACGGGGACACGGGCCAAGCUCCUACGGGAGGCAGCAGUAGGGGAUAUUUGGCAAUGGACGAAAGUCUGACCGAAGAACGCCGCGUGAGUGGAGGAAGGUAUCGGAUCGUAAAACUAGGUUGAUAUAGAAGAACGUUGGUGAGAGUAGAAAGCUCACCAAGUGACGUUAACUACCCAAAAAGGGACGGCUAACUACGUG
rnacentral:rRNA from 1 species